UACGGGGGGAGCAAGCGUUGUUCGGAUUUACUGGGCGUAAAGGGCGCGUAGGCGGCCACCGCAAGUCGACUGUGAAAUCUCCGGGCUUAACCCGGAAAGGUCAGCCGAUACUGCGGGCUAGAGUGCAGAAGGGGCAACUGGAAUUCUCGGUGUAGCGGUGAAAUGCGUAGAUAUCGAGAGGAACACCUGCGGCGAAGGCGGGUUGCUGGGCUGACACUGACGCUGAUGCGCGAAAGCUAGGGGAGCAAACGGG
rnacentral:rRNA from 1 species